rnacentral:rRNA from 1 species
AGACCCGAAACCCGGUGAUCUAGCCAUGGGCAGGUUGAAGGUUGGGUAACACUAACUGGAGGACCGAACCGACUAAUGUUGAAAAAUUAGCGGAUGACCUGUGGCUGGGGGUGAAAGGCCAAUCAAACCGGGAGAUAGCUGGUUCUCCCCGAAAGCUAUUUAGGUAGCGCCUCGUGAAUUCAUCUCCGGGGGUAGAGCACUGUUUCGGCUAGGGGGCCAUCCCGGCUUACCAACCCGAUGCAAACUGCGAAUACCGGAGAAUGUUAUCACGGGAGACACACGGCGGGUGCUAACGUCCGUCGUGAAGAGGGAAACAACCCAGACCGCCAGCUAAGGUCCCAAAGUCAUGGUUAAGUGGGAAACGAUGUGGGAAGGCCCAGACAGCCAGGAUGUUGGCUUAGAAGCAGCCAUCAUUUAAAGAAAGCGUAAUAGCUCACUGGUCGAGUCGGCCUGCGCGGAAGAUGUAACGGGGCUAAACCAUGCACCGAAGCUGCGGCAGCGACGCUGAUGCGUUGUUGGGUAGGGGAGCGUUCUGUAAGCCUGUGAAGGUGGCCUGUGAGGGUUGCUGGAGGUAUCAGAAGUGCGAAUGCUGACAUAAGUAACGAUAAAGCGGGUGAAAAGCCCGCUCGC